GGGAUAUUGCACAAUGGGGGGAACCCUGAUGCAGCGACGCCGCGUGGGUGAAGGAGCGUUUCGGCGCGUAAAGCCCUAUCGGCAGGGAAGAAGGAGGACGGUACCUGAAUAAGAAGCCCCGGCUAACUACGUGCCAGCAGCCGCGGUAAUACAUAGGGAGCAAGCGUUAUCCGGAUUUAUUGGGUGUAAAGGGUGCGUAGACGGGAAAUUAAGUUAGUUGUGAAAUCCCUCGGCUUAACUGAGGAACUGCAACUAAAACUGAUUUUCUUGAGUACUGGAGAGGAAAGUGGAAUUCCUAGUGUAGCGGUGAAAUGCGUAGAUAUUAGGAGGAACACCAGUGGCGAAGGCGACUUUCUGGACAGUAACUGACGUUGAGGCACGAAAGUGUGGGGAGCAAACAGG
rnacentral:rRNA from 1 species